rnacentral:rRNA from 1 species
UACAGAGGGGGCAAGCGUUGUUCGGAAUUACUGGGCGUAAGGGCGCGUAGGCGGCCCGCUAAGUCGAACGUGAAAUCCCUCGGCUCAACCGAGGAACUGCAUCCGAUACUGGCCGGGCUUGAAUCCGGGAGAGGGAUGUGGAAUUCCAGGUGUAGCGGUGAAAUGCGUAGAUAUCUGGAGGAACACCGGUGGCGAAGGCGGCAUCCUGGACCGGUAUUGACGCUGAGGCGCGAAAGCUAGGGGAGCAAACGGG